GUCACUUCAGAGCCGCCUCUCCAUUGGCUGAAGUUCAGCGCUAACGCUACGUUAGCAUCGCAGCUGUUUGCGGUGAACGCGACACACUGAGAGCAGGGGGAGGAGGAUGGACAGGAUCCUCGUGGACAUUUCAAACUACAGAAGCUGACGAGUCUUUGGAUAUUUAUCGAGAUCUUGGUGAACUGACAGACGUCUGAAAACAUUGGAUACUUAAAGGGCUGAAAAAGCGGAAGCGG